rnacentral:rRNA from 1 species
UGGGGAAUUGUUCACAAUGGGCGCAAGCCUGAUGACGCAACGCCGCGUGGGGGAUGAAGGUCUUCGGAUUGUAAACCCCUGUCGAAUGGGACGAAUAACCUUUGGGCUAAUCACCAGAGGAAUGACGGUACCGUUAAAGGAAGCCACGGCUAACUCUGUGCCAGCAGCCGCGGUAAUACAGAGGUGGCAAGCGUUGUUCGGAAUCAUUGGGCGUAAAGAGCGUGUAGGCGGUUCGGUAAGUCGGCUGUGAAAGUCCAGGGCUCAACCCUGGGAUGCCGGUCGAUACUGCCGGACUAGAGUUCGGAAGAGGCGAGUGGAAUUCCCGGUGUAGCGGUGAAAUGCGCAGAUAUCGGGAGGAACACCUAUGGCGAAGGCAGCUCGCUGGGACGUUACUGACGCUGAGACGCGAAAGCGUGGGGAGCAAAC